AACGCUAGCUACAGGCUUAACACAUGCAAGUCGAGGGGAAACGACAUCGAAAGCUUGCUUUUGAUGGGCGUCGACCGGCGCACGGGUGAGUAACGCGUAUCCAACCUGCCCACCACUUGGGGAUAACCUUGCGAAAGUAAGACUAAUACCCAAUGGUAUCUCUAGAAGGCAUCUGAAAGAGAUUAAAGAUUUAUCGGUGAUGGAUGGGGAUGCGUCUGAUUAGCUUGUUGGCGGGGUAACGGCCCACCAAGGCAACGAUCAGUAGGGGUUCUGAGAGGAAGGUCCCCCACAUUGGAACUGAGACACGGUCCAAACUCCUACGGGAGGCAGCAGUGAGGAAUAUUGGUCAAUGGGCGCGAGCCUGAACCAGCCAAGUAGCGUGCAGGAUGACGGCCCUAUGGGCUGUAAACUGCUUUUAUACGGGGAUAAAGUGCGGGACGCGUCCCGCUUUGUAGGUACCGUAUGAAUAAGGACCGGCUAAUUCCGUGCCAGCAGCCGCGGUAAUACGGAAGGUCCGGGCGUUAUCCGGAUUUAUUGGGUUUAAAGGGAGCGUAGGCGGACGCUUAAGUCAGUUGUGAAAGUUUGCGGCUCAACCGUAAAAUUGCAGUUGAUACUGGGUGUCUUGAGUACAGUAGAGGCAGGCGGAAUUCGUGGUGUAGCGGUGAAAUGCUUAGAUAUCACGAAGAACUCCGAUUG
rnacentral:rRNA from 1 species